CUUUUUUCAACUUAACGUCACACAGUAGCUAUUUAAUCUUUUGCAAUAAUCUAAAAAAUAUUUUGGAAGGAAAUAUCUUGUUCUUUUUUUCAUAUAAUUUUUAAAUACGUGUUCAUUUUAUUAAUUUCAUAAACGUAAGUUUCAAAAACGUCAAUUUCGCGUGUCACUGUGCGUACGUACAUGUACUGUCGAAAGCUAGACCGGAAGUAAACACCCCCCCUGCGCAAAAAAAUAUGCGCACGAACCAGAAAGCAAUGAAGCGUUCGCGGCACCAAUUACUUUCGUUUUUAAAAGAAAAUAACAGAAAUUGUAGUUUGUUUGUCAAGCAGAUUGAUGGGGAAAUAUUCAAGUUUUUAACACAGAGAGGAUUGGCCAAAAAAGGCUGUAGCACACGUGGAAGGUAGCAUUGCAUAUACCGUAUUAUGGAAGCAUUAAGGAGUGCAUCAAAUAUCAAGACUAAGUUUGGAUUGGCACCAAGUACUGUGAAUUCGAAUGAAAUAAUUAUUUUUUUUAAAUGGAAAUAAUAAAUUUGAAAUAUGAAAAGUUGUGGAUUUGAACAUUUAUAUGUGUAUUUGCAAUAUAAUAGAGACCCACAAAAUCCAAAGACAUUACUAUUCUGAACUAUUUUUAUAGUGAAGUGACACUGUGUGAAGCUAAUGUUUUUGGGAUCUCGAAAUCGAAAAUUUGCCCAAGAAAAUAUACCAUAGUUGCAUUCACAUUGAACUUUAAAUUUGUAUAAAUUUAUAACAAGAAAUGUUUCACACAUUUGAUCAGAGAGAAACAUUACCAGAUUUAUGCUGAAAACAAUGUAAGACAUAUUUUCAUUCACUCUAUUGUAAAUUGUGAUCUGUGUGUAAAAGUUACAAUAAAUAGUUUUAUUGUU